rnacentral:rRNA from 1 species
GUAUUGGACAAACCUCCUUGUCAAAGCCUGGUCUCGUCAGAUUUCAGACGCUAAACAGGGCCGGGCCUGGUUGGUACUUGGAUGGGAGACCACUGGGAGCCAUAGUCGUUGUGUCCU